rnacentral:rRNA from 1 species
GUCUUUUUGUAAGUAUAAAAAGUCCGGUCUGCCCACUGAUGAGUAUAUUAAAGGGCCGCAGUAUUUUAACUGUGCAAAGGUAGCAUAAUCAUUAGUUCUUUAAUUGAGAUCUUGAAUGAAUGAUUAGACAAAAAAAUUACUGUCUUUAUAAUAAUAAUUGAAUUUAACUUUUAAGUGAAAAGGCUUAAAUAAUUUGAAGUGACGAUAAGACCCUAUAAAGCUUAAUAUUAUUAUAAAAUUUUUGGUAAAUUAGAUAUAAAAUUUUAAGGUUUAUUAGUAUUUUAUUGGGGCGAUAGAAGUAAAAAGUUUAAUAACUGCUUUUUUUUUAAUCAAGUAUGAAUGGUUAGUGUGUAAAUGAUCUUAUUUUAUAGAGUAAAAGAUUAAGUUACUUUAGGGAUAACAGCGUUAUUUUUCUUGAGAGUUCUUAUCGAAAGAAAAGAUUGCGACCUCGAUGUUGAAUUAAAAUAUCUAUAUAAUUGUAGUAGUUAUAUAAGAAGGUCUGUUCGACCUUUAAAUUUUUACGUGAUUUGAGUUCAGACCGGUUUAAACCAGGUCGGUUUCUAUCUUUUAAUUAAAUUGUAAUUAUUUUA